UGGGGGAAACCCUGAUGCAGCGACGCCGCGUGAGUGAUGAAGGCCUUCGGGUCGUAAAGCUCUGUUGAAUGGGAAUAAAAAAAUGAAGGUACCAUUUAAGAAAGGAUCGGCUAACUUCGUGCCAGCAGCCGCGGUAAUACGAGGGAUCCUAGCGUUGUUCGGAAUCAUUGGGCGUAAAGAGUAUGUAGGCGGCCUAGUAAGUCAGUUGUGAAAGCCCCGGGCUCAACCCGGGAAGUGCAAUUGAUACUGCUUGGCUUGAAUGUGGAAGAGGGCAGUAGAAUUCCAGGUGUAGUGGUGAAAUACGUAGAUAUCUGGAGGAAUACCGGUGGCGAAGGCGGCUGCCUGGUCCUACAUUGACGCUGAGAUACGAAAGCGUGGGGAGCAAACAGGAUUAGAUACCCUGGUAGUCCACGCUGUAAACGAUGAACACUUGUUGUUGGAGGUAUUGACCCCUUCAGUGACGAAGCUAACGCGUUAAGUGUUCCGCCUGGGGAGUACGGUCGCAAGAUUA
rnacentral:rRNA from 1 species